GCAAACUUGGUCAUUUAGAGGAAGUAAAAGUCGUAACAAGGUUUCCGUAGGUGAACCUGCGGAAGGAUCAUUGGAGAUUUAGUAAUCCAAUCACCCUUGUGCAAUCUGCGUAGUCUGAUAUCCUUGGAGAGAUCAUUUUGUGUGAACUCUCCAAGGAGGUUAUCAACAUUAAUGUAUCUUUUCUUUACUUUUAUGUCUAAAUAAAUAAAUAAAUAAAUUAUAAUCGAAACAACUUUCAACAACGGAUCUCUUGGCUCUCGCAUCGAUGAAGAACGCAGC
rnacentral:misc_RNA from 1 species